rnacentral:rRNA from 1 species
ACUCAAAUGAAUUGACGGGGGCCCGCACAAGCGGUGGAGCAUGUGGUUUAAUUCGAAGCAACGCGAAGAACCUUACCAGGUCUUGACAUCCCGCUGACCGGUAUAGAGAUAUACCUUUCCCUUCGGGGACAGCGGUGACAGGUGGUGCAUGGUUGUCGUCAGCUCGUGUCGUGAGAUGUUGGGUUAAGUCCCGCAACGAGCGCAACCCUUGAUCUUAGUUGCCAGCAUUUAGUUGGGCACUCUAAGGUGACUGCCGGUGACAAACCGGAGGAAGGUGGGGAUGACGUCAAAUCAUCAUGCCCCUUAUGACCUGGGCUACACACGUGCUACAAUGGAUGGUACAAAGGGCAGCAAAACCGCGAGGUCAAGCCAAUCCCAUAAAACCAUUCUCAGUUCGGAUUGCAGGCUGCAACUCGCCUGCAUGAAGCCGGAAUCGCUAGUAAUCGUGGAUCAGCAUGCCACGGUGAAUACGUUCCCGGGCCUUGUACACACCGCCCGU